rnacentral:rRNA from 1 species
UGCAGUCGAGCGAGAUCUUCGGAUCUAGCGGCGGACGGGUUAGUAACGCGUGGGAACGUACCCAAAGGUAGGGAAUAGCCACUGGAAACGGUGAGUAAUACCCUAUGUGCCCUUCGGGGGAAAGAUUUAUCGCCUUUGGAUCGGCCCGCGUUAGAUUAGAUAGUUGGUGGGGUAACGGCCUACCAAGUCUACGAUCUAUAGCUGGUUUUAGAGGAUGAUCAGCAACACUGGGACUGAGACACGGCCCAGACUCCUACGGGAGGCAGCAGUGGGGAAUCUUGGACAAUGGGGGCAACCCUGAUCCAGCCAUGACGCGUGAGUGAUGAAGGCCUUAGGGUCGUAAAGCUCUUUCGCCUGUGAAGAUAAUGACUGUAGCAGGUAAAGAAACCCCGGCUAACUCCGUGCCAGCAGCCGCGGUAAUACGGAGGGGGUUAGCGUUGUUCGGAAUUACUGGGCGUAAAGCGCGCGUAGGCGGACUGGAAAGUUGGGGGUGAAAUCCCAGGGCUCAACCCUGGAACUGCCUCCAAAACUAUCAGUCUAGAGUUCGAGAGAGGUGAGUGGAAUUCCGAGUGUAGAGGUGAAAUUCGUAGAUAUUCGGAGGAACACCAGUGGCGAAGGCGGCUCACUG